GGGAACCUCACCCGGCCCGGACACCGCGAGGAUUGACAGACUGAGAGCUCUUUCUCGAUUCGGUGGGUGGUGGUGCAUGGCCGUUCUUAGUAGGUUGAGUGUUUUGUCUUGUUAAUUCCGAUAACGAACAAGACUCUUUCCUGCUAAAUAAUGUCUGCUUCUCUUUUGAGCAGACAAUUCUUCUUAGAGGGACUGGCAACUCUUAGUCGCACAAGAUUGAGCAAUAA
rnacentral:rRNA from 1 species